GCCCUGUUAGCUCACACUGGCAGAGCAAUCGCCUUGUAAGCGAUAGGUUGUCUGUUCGAUUCAGACACGGGGCACCA
rnacentral:tRNA from 1 species